rnacentral:rRNA from 1 species
CCCUUAGAUGGUCUGGGCGGCACGCGCGCUACAAUGAUGCAUUGAAAAAGUCUUCUGACCUUAGAAGGUUGGGUAUUCUCCAAAGUGCAUCGUGAUGGGAAUAGUUUAUUGCAAUUUUUAAUCUUGAACGAGGAAUUCCUAUUAAGUACAGGUCAUCAACUUGUGUUGAUUACGUCCCUGCCCUUUGUACACACCGCCCGUCGCUCCUACUGAUUGAGUGUCUCGGUGAAUUCUUUGAUCUUCUGUCGAUUCAGUUCACUGAUCCGACGGUGGAAAGUUGAAUGAACUUCGUCACUUAGAGGAAGGAGAAGUCGUAACA